GCGAGGGUUGCCAAGUCAGGUCAAAGGCGCAGGGCUUAGGACCCUGUCUCGAAGGAGUUCGUGAGUUCGAAUCUCACCCCUCGCACCA
rnacentral:tRNA from 1 species